UGAUGCUCCCACUCCAGACAGAAGCAGGUUAAGAUCCUCCCUGGAACAACAUAUCACAUUUGAAUUGGCUUCUGGUGUGGAUUUAUGCGUAUGUGGUUCUUAGAACAACAGCGGCUAAGAGAACACAGGGGACUGUCUCGUUCGUUCAUCUCCCGGAGACGGUUUGGUUACUCUAACUCUCCUGCUGUGAGAUCGAGUGGUUUCCAGGAAGCAGAGUGGAGGAAGAGGCAACGGGAGGCUCUACUCUUUCAACUUGAGUCCCAGACACGCCAUCAAUCAAACCAUGGUCACACGAAACAGCCAUUGCUAAGGGAAACAGAAAGAAAGAGUCUUUAAAGGAGUGGCCAUGUGAUCCAAAUAAAAUCUUUAUGACUCUAAGCCAAAGUGAUGGGUUAAAGCAGCAAUGGCUGAGUCUAUGGAAACAUGGCCACCUAUGGAUGAGUGUAGUCUGGAUUUGUCUCAUUUUUUCCACUGUAAUUUUCAGUAAAACCACACUCUAGUUAUUUACUAAAAAGUACGCCUUAAUGUUCUUACCAUGCGGACCUCUCAGUGUUUGAUUUGGUCAGUUGAUUAAAGGCAGUAUUUAGGGCAGGCCACAAGGAUAUCCUUAGCUACAGAUAAGCAGACUCUCUUUUUAAAUGUACUUAUUUUUUAUUUAUAUGUUUGAAUGUUGUACUGGUUGACUUUGUGUGUCAACUUGACACAAGCUAGAGUCAUCAGAGAUGAAGGAGCCUCUGUUUUCAGGAAAUGCCUCCAUGAGAUCCAGCUGUAAGGCAUUUUCUCAAUUAGUGAUCAAUGGGGGAGGGCCCAGCCCAUGAUGGGUGCUGUCAUCCCUGAGCCAGAAAUCCUGCUUUCUCUGAGAAAGCACUGAGCAAGCCAGGAGAAGCAAACCAGUAAGGGACACUACUCCAUGGCCUCUGGAUGAGCUCCUGCCUCCAGAACCCUGCCCUGUUUGCAUUCCUGUCCUGACUUCCUUCAGUGAU